ensembl:lncRNA
UUUUUCUUUUUUGCUUUUUAGGGCCACAUCUGUGGCACAUGGAGGUUCCCAGGCUAGGGGUGGAAUCACAGCUGCAGCUACCGGCCUACACCACAGCCACAGCAACAGCUGCAGCUGCCACAGCCACACAGGAUCCGAGCCACACCUGGGACCUACACCACAGCUCAAGGCAAUGGCGGAUCCUUGACCCACUGAGAGAGGCCAGGGACGGAAUCCACAACCUCAUGGAUCCUAGUUGAGUUCGUUAACCACUGAGCCACAAAGGGAACUCCUGCUCCAUAGCUGCCAGUCUGCAACCUUUGUGGUCAUAGGUCCCAAAUAUAAGACAUCGGAUACAGGAGUUCCCAUUGUAGCUCAGCAGAAACAAAUCUGACUAGCAUCCAGGAGGACGCAGGUUUGAUCCCUGGCCUCACUGAGUGGGUUAAGGAUCUUGUGUUGCUAUGAGCUGUGGUGUAGGUCACAGAUGUGGCUCGGAUCUGAUGUUGCUGUGGCUGUGGUGUAGGCUGGCAAGUGCAGCUCCAAUUAGACCUCUAGCCUGGGAACCUCCAUGUGCCGUGGGUGCAGUCCUAAAAAGACACACACACACACAAAAAGACAUCAGAUACAAUAUUAGUAACAUAUUAAUAUAAUAAGCCCCCAAUGGAGUAAAAGAGAAUAGAAAAAGUGCACAACAAUCUCUAAAGCAAGCUUGCAAGGCUAGCAAGUUCCAGGAUCCACUGCUUAUUUAGUCCUCUCACCCUCCUCUCACUCUAAAAAUAUCAACAACAAUAAGAAGUAAGGCACCUGCAGAACAGUAACCGUGUGCCUAGCACUGUGCUAAGCACUUUCACAUUCAAAGCACUUUAAUCUUUAAGCACAACCUAAAAGGUGGAAACUUAGUCCCAAUUAGAGACAAAAAAAUAAGGCUCAGAGAGCUUAAGUGACCCAUCCAAAAAUCACACAGCCAGUAGGUGACAGAGCCAGGAUUGGCUCCUCAUACUUCCCUCUUGAGGGAAAGAAUAUAGAAUAAGUUUCUGGAAUCAACUUUGAUCUACCUUAAUACUCUCAAUUGAAAAAUAAUAAACUUCAGUCAUGCCACAGCCAUCACACAGAUCAGUAGACCAAGCUCAGCAAACUACCCCUAAGGCCAGACACAGCCCUCCCUCUGUUUUUGUAAAGUUUUAUCGCAAUAUAACCAUCCCCAUUCAUUCUUAUUAUCUAUGGCGAUCUGCAUGACACAGAGGCAGAAUACAAUGCUUGCAAGAGACCGUGUGGCCCAUUAAGCCUGAAGCAUACUGUUAUCUGAUUCUUUAUAGAAAAGUUUGCCAGUUCUGAUGGGCAGACCUAGAUGGUUUCCUAGAAUGUCUGGAGAUGCCACACCCGAGAAGGUGAUGAGCUCAAACCUUCAGAUGUGGAAGCACAUUAAUGGGGGAAAGGGGGAGUGAAAGCUUCUUCAGCCUUCUUUAGAUUGAGUGUUCUUGAUAUUUUUGGCUGAGACCAAGGGAAAAAGAGGAACCAGUCAUGGGAGGAUCUGGAGAAAAGGAGUCCCAGGUAGAAGGAAACUGUAAGUGCAAAGUCCCUGAGGUAGGAAUGUGCUUGAAGUAUUUGAGGGACAAAAAGAGGGCCACUGUGAGUGGAGCAGAGUAAGGAGGAGGAGAGAGGCUGGAGAGGAAGCUGGAGAGAUAACAGGGGCAGGGAUGGGGGGGGAGGUGGCCAACCAUGUGGAGACUUACAAUCAGGAAAAAGGUCUCUGGAUUUUAAACUAAGUAUGAUAGAAAUAAAUUGUUCAUAUCCUACCAAAUACUACCAACCAUUUUUGUGAAGGGAUCUGGAGGCUGAGAAGCCAAGAACUCCAUCCGAGACAUAAUUUCUUGUCUCAAAAAUGUGCUUAAUAGAUCACUAGCUCCCCAUGACCAACAUGACGGCCCCCCAGGUCAUUGGAAGACAAUAUGUUUAACUGGCACACAAAGUAUGUCAGCAUCCGUCCCCUUUACAGCAACCCAGUAUAGCAGACCAGAUGGGCACAGCCAGCCUGUGUGAUGGAUUAAGAAACAGGAGUCUUGGAAUGUUGUGUGAUUCACCCAAGAGUGCUAGAGGCUGCAUCCUCUAGCUGCUCUUGCCCCCCCUCCCCCCGGCCCACUACCCCCACUUUCCCUGACACCUUCAAUAUAAGAUUCCGUCAUUAAUAAAGACACCACCCAGACAGAAAAAUCAAACAGAAGACUGAACCCUGAAUUCCAAAGGCAGGCCACCCCCUCAGUCCCCUUCUUACACUCAACCUCUGCCAGGCUCAGUCUCUAAAUUAGAUAACCAGAAGCCACCAGAAAGUCAGCCCUUUCAGAAAGCGCAGAGAAAACCACAAUUUCUGGAAAGCCACAUCCACCAUCAUCCAAGACCAAAUUUAGCACCAAGUGAGGUGCUCACGUUUGAAAUCCCAUCUGCUAGAAAAAAGGUUACCACGACAGAAUGUCAGGUUCGAAGAUAGAAUCUUCUUUUUAACAGAAGAGGUUUAAAAAAAAAAAAAAGAAGAAGAAGAAGAAGAAAGAAAGAAAAACGAAGGAAAAAGGAAAAAGUAUCAUCACCAUGAGAAAAAUCGCUUCCUCUGGUCAAAAUCGCACCAUACUCAACUGAAAUAACCCACUGAGACACUUAUUUGCUUCUUUAGGCUUGUCCGUGGUUUCCCAAUUUUCUGCAGUGAAUUCAAGUAUUAAUAAAAGAAACUUUGAGACCUCCAACUGCAAAAGCGGUCAGGGAUGAGACUUUGCUCAUUUUUCUUCCAGCACUCAAAAGAGAGAGCCCAUCUUUGGGAAGCAAUUUCUGUUGAGUUGAGAAUCCAGAAUUUUGGGAUGCCCAGAAAAGACUGCUGGGUUCUUUAAAUAAAUUCUCAACACCUGUUUCUAGCUCCUUCUGCAAAAAAAGGCCCACAGGGUGUGGCUUCCGAUGAAUUGGAGAGGCAGAUGGAAUGGGAGCACAUACUGGUUGGACUCAGGAGGGUCCGGGGGCUGGCUAAGUGUUUGGCCAUAUUUACAGAGCUGCUGCUGGAAAUCUCCCCUCAUCCCCUCUGGCCCCCAACUCUCCCUCUCCUCCCCCUCCAACCUCCCACAGCCUUUGUCUAAGGUCCACUUGUCUCAGGGGCCUGGACCACGCAGAGCCUGGUCUGCUCAUACUCCCCACCCAAGCAGCGAUUCCAUUACAGCGAAGUUUCCAAAGUUAGGAUUCCGCCAACAAGGCUGAUAGCUUAUUUACUGCUGUCAUCUAAAGAAAGAGGAAUUUUGACACAUUGUUAAAUGAUAGCACAUUUAGAUAAGUCAAGCUGUCAGAGGCUCUAAUGGAUGUCUAAACUCUCCGUGGCUGAUAUGUAAAAUUUAUGCACUUCAGAAUAUCAUAAGGUUAUAAUAUUUUAACCACACUGACGCUCUUUUCUAAACUUUGAACAGGGAAAAACAUUCCAUCAAGUCCCACCUCCCAUGCACCAAGAAACUGAACCUUCCCGGAAGUUUCUCCAAACUCCUUACAAAACGUCCAGAUUCUCUCACUUUACCCACAGGUCUUCUCCCUAAAUGCUCACACCUCAAGCAGAAUUUGCCUUUCCUCCAAAACGCAUGGGAUCUCUCCAGCCAACCACUUUCCUCCCAAGAAACACAGACAUGCAUUUGGACUGGGUGCCAAUGCUUGUUAGCUUGAUUAACCGUCUUUGAAGGAAAAAAAAAAAAAAGAUAUCACAGGAGACUGGACCCAGAGCAUCGUAAAAAAAGUGGCAAAGUAAAGCAGGAAAAGAAAAUCAUAAAGGUAUGAAUCCGGUUACAACGAUUAUACACAGAAAAGCCAUAAAAAAAUACUGCAUUAGUAAUGUUCACCAUAAAGCAAUCUUAUAACCAAAUGAAAUAUGCCCAGCAUUAACUUUGGGAUAGAAUUUUAUUUCUUCUCGUUUCCUAGACUGCUAGCAGCAGAGUGGGGAAAAAAAAGCAGCAAAGAAAGGGGAAAGUAGUUUCAUGUGUCCUGGGGUAGGGUACCACAUGUCACAGCAUCUUUACCAUCAUCAGCCCACAAGUCAUUAAGACUGUUGACUGACUUCCAGCCUAGAAAACAGCCCUGCUGUGUCCGGAGACAGCACUGGAAAGAAUAAUAACCAAACUGCUUCCAUAUUUGAAAAAUAUAUACUUCCAGAGGGCUGUGCUCGUGGCUAGUACAAGGUCACCUUUCUUACCAGGAUCAGGAUGGCGUCAGCAGCAGGGUCUGACCUGGGGACACAGGCCACCUUCACUGCCUCGGCCACUUUAAUGCACAGCAAUGAGGCUGCGUGAAACCACUAAACCUGAACAACCAACAACUGAAGCCACACACUUCCUCACACUCACAAGCAGCUGGGCUGCGUGGCUAGUGGGCCCAAAGCUCUUGCUUGGCCUGCGCAGGGCCUGGGGUGGGGGCCCACCUUUCCUACCCAGAUCCUGGAACCAGCCAGCUGAAGUUUUCCUUUCUGGCUAUCUCCCUUGUAAGACGAAAAGUGGGAAGGGGAAAAAAAUGAAAAUAAAAGCGUGGCACAGGAGUCAUUAGCAUUAUGCACAAGAGAUGAUCCUAAGCAAAAGUGCUUAGGCUCAUAAUCCCUUUCCAACAAAAAUGCCAUCAGUGAGAAUUCAUACGGAAAGAGGGUGGGGGGCAGGCCUGCUGGGCAGGGGAACAACUGAACAUUUCGGGAUGAGGUGGGGACCAUGACAGAUGUGAGGGGCCUCAAUAUUUGCACACAGCCACAGCUGCCACAUUUACCUCUCUGCUCUCUAGAAGUGUGCGGCUUUUCAAACUCCCAAAGGGACACCCCCCCACACACUUAAUAUCCAUGUAAAUGAGCUUAUCCCUUUCCCCAGAGCCUUCUCCUUUUGUGCCAGACACACCAGGCAUUGUCUUAAUGAACACCCCCCCACAUACACCCUAUGUAUACACUCUUUGUGGGGAGAGGUCUUGGCCCUGUUUCCCCACCACCUGAACAAGGCUUUCCACCCCCCGCCUUUCAUCCUUUCCAGUUCAAAUUUGCUCUUCCACCUCAGCAUCUUCUAAAAACCUAACAAAGGGUUCCCAGAUCAAUGGAAGUCCAACUGGAAUCAAGAUUUGGGUGACCUCAACAGCUCCACAAAAAACCUCUGAGCCUGAGAAGGAAGAGUGAGGGUCAACACCCCCUCUGCCUCAGCUCAGAAAUCAGUCCCCUGGGAGCCGCACCCACCCCUCAGCACCCAGCCCCAGCUCUCACUCCACCUCCUGGUUGCAGCCUAGCUCUCUGGAUUGAAAGCGAGUUAUCUAAUGAAAAUUGUGUUAACUGACAUUCCGGCCAACCGGGAGCAAAUACCAGCGCUGUAAAUCUCGCCGCGGAAAUUUUCUCCAGCCCAGAAUAACAAUAGGACCCUGCAAAGGGCUUUGGCCAGCCCUUCUGGUUCCUCUCCUCUCGUCUGCCACGUUCUUGUCAUUCCUUAUGUUACAGAACAUCAAUCAUAAAUAAAGACGCUGUCCCCCAGCCAUGCCCGGGUCUCAUUUACAAACAUUAGCAGGGAAUACGAUUACCAUUGGCCUUCGUGCCAAGCCCAAUGUGGCUGCCCAACUCUCUCUCUCUCCCAUAUUCUCUGUCUCUCUCUCUCCUUCCCUCUCCCCCAUCCCCCACUCUUCCAGAAAGGCCACUUUAGCAUCAUUUAAACCAGCUAGCACAGCUCACAGCCCUGUCCGCCUCAGCUGGCCACCAAACUGUAGCCCCAACUCGAGUGAGUACCUGGAAUUGCAAGGCACUCGCAGUUAUUAACGGCAUGCCUGAGUGCCCCGAUUUUCUCUCCAGCUCAAUGGCUUUGAGGGAGGGGGCCUGCAGGCGAGCUAGGGCUUAGGAAGGAGGCGGGCUGGGUAGCCUCCAGGAGGAAGGGUGGGGGGGGUGGUACUGGAACCACUUAUCAGAAGAAACUUAACAAGAUUUUCAGGCGGAUUUUUUAAAAAGUGGGUCCCUUUUUAUCUCCAGACUGAUGCUCUUGCUUCUUCUGAGAAUGUCAAGGCCAAAGCGGGAUGCUUUAAUUCCCCAGUUAUGAGCACCACUUCCCUGCCCCUUGUUCCUACCUCCUCUGUGAGACCCAGAGAUUCUUGGGUUUGGGGGGCUCGGCAGGAGCAUCCUAGGGCACCAGGGAAAGGACAGAGGCUAAAGCUGUGCCUUCCGCGGGCGUUCUCUGAAAUUCCACUCCCCGGCCCGACCUCCGGAAAUACCCCUCAAAUCUGGAGGAUACACACAGACUCUCAGAAAAAGAUGGAACGGGGAUAAAGUGCUGGAGUUUGGGAGAGAGUCGCCUUAGAGAGGGAAAGGAAAAGAGAAAGAAAGAUGAAACAGAUUAGAGAAAGGUGCAAAGAGAGGAGUGAAGCAAAGGAAAAGCAGGAGACAGAAGACAGAGAGGGGAUCUCUCAUUUAAAAGUU